AUUGAACGCUAGCGGGAUGCUUUACACAUGCAAGUCGAACGGAGUGGCGGACGGGUGAGUAAUAUAUCGGAACGUGCCCGGUAGGGGGGGACAACUAGUAGAAAGAGUGGCUAAUACCGCAUACUAGUGGAGCGCCCGAUGUCGGAUUAGCUAGUUGGGGGGGGAAAGGCUCACCAAGGCUACGAUCCGUAGCUGGUUUGAGAGGACGAACAGCCACACUGGGACUGAGACACGGCCCAGACUCCUACGUGAGGCAGCAGUGGGGAAUUUUGGACAAUGGGGGCAACCCUGAUGCAGCCAUCCCGCGUGUAUGAUGAAGGCCUUCGGGUUGUAAAGUACUUUUGGCGGGGAAGCGGUAUCUGCAGAAUAAGCACCGGCUAACUCCGUGCCAGCAGCCGCGGUAAUAC
rnacentral:rRNA from 1 species